rnacentral:rRNA from 1 species
AAUCAACGCUGGCGGCGUGCCUCAGACAUGCAAGUCGAACGAUUAAAGCUCUCUUCGGAGAGUGUAUAGAGUGGCGCACGGGUGAGUAACACGUAAGUAAUCUACCUUCGAGUGGGGAAUAACGUCCGGAAACGGACGCUAAUACCGCAUAAUGCAGCGGCAUCGCAAGAUGACAGUUGUUAAAGAUUUAUCGCUUGAAGAGGAGCUUGCGGCAGAUUAGCUAGUUGGUAAGGUAACGGCUUACCAAGGCUACGAUCUGUAUCCGGUCUAAGAGGACGGUCGGACACACUGACACUGAAUAACGGGUCAGACUCCUACGGGAGGCAGCAGUCGGGAAUUUUGGGCAAUGGGCGAAAGCCUGACCCAGCAACGCCGCGUGAAGGAUGAAGUA